GUGUCCGGAGACCACGUGAGGCGGCGGCGGGCGUGGCCAGAGCGUGGUCACGUGGCCGGCCAGUCCUCCCGCGCGGGCACGCGCCUGCUGAGCCCCGCCUCCCGCCAGCCAGGGCAGAAGCGGGCGGCCACGAGGGGUCUGCGGCGCUGCGGUGGCGGCGGCGCUCCGGGAUCCGGUCCGCCCGAGCACGUGCACUAACUUUAACGGAUGCGCUGGAACUUUUUCCAGCGCUGGGCUUGCGGUCUAGAAAUAACACUCAAGUAAAUGUUCCCUCUCCCCCUCCGCUCAGCCGCCAACUUUAGGACAUUCACCAAGGCACUGCAAACACGAAAAGAACCUCAGGACUCGGUUGCAUGAAUUCUGUGCGGCCACACCUUUAAAAGCCAUACUGGUCUCCAACGAAAGGAUCCUCAUCGGGGAAUAAUAGAAAAUUGAGGCCAGAAAUGAAUGCGCGACAGCAACCAUUUUUGCUCUGGUGUUCCCAGCAUCACAGGGUGUGCGAUAGGAGAUGAGAAAUUUGCUGUCAACCCUUGCGGCUACCUGUCCACACAGAAGCAAUAAUCCCAAAAGGCAAGGGAGUGAGGUGCCACUGGAUUAAGCCCUUGCUUUCACACCAAGAAUGUGCUGACUGGAUCCGUACAAACUCCUUUCUAUGGACAGGAGAUCUAGGCUCCAAGACCGGCCUGACUUAUCCAAUAGAGGGGGCCCUCGGGUGGCAGUUGGCUUCGCUCUAAGAUCUCAGCUCUGUUAUACCUCAUUGCCUCCCAAAGGGAAAUCAAGUUCGCUUACAACGCCUUCAGCAAUGAGAGGUGUCCAGUGGAAUGGAGGCUGGAAAGGUGGUAGCCCCUAGAAGGAGGGCCUGCUGGAGAGACCCUUAAUAGGACAACGGAGAGGUGCAGGAGCAUUGGAAGUGGAACGCAUGGAGGAGUCUUGCCUGGCAGCGUUGGCGUGGGCCUAGGAUGAAGACCAGGAGUGGGAGAUGACAGCAGGGGAGGGAGAACCAAUACCAGGCGGGAGUGGAAAAGCCCCUUCAGGCAUAGCUAGCUGAAAGUGAAAUACAAGGGGACCCUUGUAAAAUACUAUGUCAUGAAACUAGGUGCUGAGGGCUGGUCCAGGAUACAGAAGGGGGGAUUGCAGGCCUUUUGAAAAUGUUUUUUGACCACUACAAUCACUCCCAUGUGGAUAAACGUGUUCCAUUAAUUUUAAUUAUUCCAGCAACUGUCAUAUUACUAGAGAAACAGACACGUGAUGCAGAGAGAGAAGUAAAAGAAAAAAAAAAAAAAAACACGAUCAUGUGAAGGGAAAA